AUACUUACCUGGAGGGGAGAUACCAUGAUUACAAGGUGGUUUUCACAGAGCGAGGCUUAUUCAUUGCACUCUGGAUGUGCUGACCCCUGUGAUUUCCCCAAAUGAGGGAAACUCAACUGCAUAAUUUACGGUAGUGGGGAACUGCAUUUGCAGUCUCCCU